UACGUAGGGUGCAAGCGUUGUCCGGAAUUAUUGGGCGUAAAGAGCUCGUAGGCGGUUUGUCGCGUCUGCUGUGAAAACUCGGGACUUAACUCCGGGCCUGCAGUGGGUACGGGCAGACUAGAGUGCGGUAGGGGAGACUGGAAUUCCUGGUGUAGCGGUGAAAUGCGCAGAUAUCAGGAGGAACACCGGUGGCGAAGGCGGGUCUCUGGGCCGUAACUGACGCUGAGGAGCGAAAGCGUGGGGAGCGAACAGG
rnacentral:rRNA from 1 species